UGGGGAAUCUUGCACAAUGGGGGAAACCCUGAUGCAGCGACGCCGCGUGAGCGAUGAAGCCCUUCGGGGUGUAAAGCUCUUUCGACGGGGACGAUAAUGACGGUACCCGGAGAAGAAGCUGCGGCUAACUACGUGCCAGCAGCCGCGGUAAUACGUAGGCAGCAAGCGUUGUUCGGAAUUACUGGGCGUAAAGGGUGCGUAGGUGGUUGGUUAAGUUUGGUGUGAAAUCUCCCGGCUCAACUGGGAGGGUGCGCCGAAAACUGGCCGACUAGAGUGUGGGAGAGGGAAGUGGAAUUCCUGGUGUAGCGGUGAAAUGCGUAGAUAUCAGGAGGAACACCUGCGGUGUAGACGGCUUCCUGGACCAUGACUGACACUGAUGCACGAAAGCGUGGGUAGCAAACAGG
rnacentral:rRNA from 1 species